AAAACAUCGCCUCUUGAAAAACAUAAGAGGUCCAGCCUGCCCAGUGACAUUGUUUAACGGCCGCGGUAUCCUAACCGUGCGAAGGUAGCGUAAUCACUUGUCCUUUAAAUGAGGACUAGUAUGAAUGGCAUCACGAGGAUUAUUCUGUCUCCUUUCUCUAAUCAGUAAAACUAAUCUUCCCGUGAAGAAGCGGGGAUACACUUAUAAGACGAGAAGACCCUAUGGAGCUUUAAACAAAACAACAUUUGUUAACUUCCCCCCUCAAAUUUCAGAAAAACAAUUUUUAUCUUAACACUGUGUUUGUUAGUUUUAGGUUGGGGUGACCGCGGAGAAAAAAGUAACCUCCACAUUGAAAGGGGCUUUCCCCUAAACAAAAAGUCACAACUUUAUGUAUCAACAAAUUGACAUCAAUUGACCCAAUAUUUUGAUCAACGAAACAAGUUACCCUAGGGAUAACAGCGCAAUCCACUUCGAGAGCCCCUAUCGACAGGUGGGUUUACGACCUCGAUGUUGGAUCAGGGUAUCCUAGUGGUGCAGCCGCUACUAAAGGUUCGUUUGUUCAACGAUUAAAACCCUA
rnacentral:rRNA from 1 species